UCUAGAACUCUAGAUAUGGGCUGAACACUGAACAGUGUCUAGGCUGCAGCAUAGAUUCAAACUUCUUAUGUAUUGCUAAGAUUUGAGCUUGAAAAUGAUAGUUUUCAAUCUUGAACUUUUCUUGAAUGUUUUAGGCCUACGUCUUAGCUUUCCAGC
rnacentral:pre_miRNA from 1 species